GAGUGAAAUAGAACCUGAAACCGUGUGCUUACAAGUAGUCAGAGCCCGUUAAUGGGUGAUGGCGUGCCUUUUGUAGAAUGAACCGGCGAGUUACGAUUUGAUGCAAGGUUAAGCAGUAAAUGUGGAGCCGUAGCGAAAGCGAGUCUGAAUAGGGCGUUUAGUAUUUGGUCGUAGACCCGAAACCAGGUGAUCUACCCUUGGUCAGGUUGAAGUUCAGGUAACACUGAAUGGAGGACCGAACCGACUUACGUUGAAAAGUGAGCGGAUGAACUGAGGGUAGCGGAGAAAUUCCAAUCGAACCUGGAGAUAGCUGGUUCUCUCCGAAAUAGCUUUAGGGCUAGCCUCAAGUGAUGAUUAUUGGAGGUAGAGCACUGUUUGGACGAGGGGCCCCUCUCGGGUUACCGAAUUCAGACAAACUCCGAAUGCCAAUUAAUUUAACUUGGGAGUCAGAACAUGGGUGAUAAGGUCCGUGUUCGAAAGGGAAACAGCCCAGACCACCAGCUAAGGUCCCAAAAUAUAUGUUAAGUGGAAAAGGAUGUGGCGUUGCCCAGACAACUAGGAUGUUGGCUUAGAAGCAGCCAUCAUUUAAAGAGUGCGUAAUAGCUCACUAGUCGAGUGACACUGCGCCGAAAAUGUACCGGGGCUAAACAUAUUACCGAAGCUGUGGAUUGUCCUUUGGACAAUGGUAGGAGAGCGUUCUAAGGGCGUUGAAGCAUGAUCGUAAGGACAUGUGGAGCGCUUAGAAGUGAGAAUGCCGGUGUGAGUAGCGAAAGACGGGUGAGAAUCCCGUCCACCGAUUGACUAAGGUUUCCAGAGGAAGGCUCGUCCGCUCUGGGUUAGUCGGGUCCUAAGCUGAGGCCGACAGGCGUAGGCGAUGGAUAACAGGUUGAUAUUCCUGUACCACCUAUAAUCGUUUUAAUCGAUGGGGGGACGCAGUAGGAUAGGCGAAGCGUGCGAUUGGAUUGCACGUCUAAGCAGUAAGGCUGAGUAUUAGGCAAAUCCGGUACUCGUUAAGGCUGAGC
rnacentral:rRNA from 1 species